ACGUCAUUCCUGAACUAGCCAAACAAGCAAAAUAAACAAAAAUGCGGCGCCUGCCAGCGUGUGACGUUGUGGUGCUACGAUGUGAUUAACUGAAAAUACUGGAUCGUUUAGGCUGUAUUUGAUCAUUUCACGCAAUCAGCCACGGUGUAUCGCGCUCUUAGCGUCACACUCUAACGCUAGGUGUUAACAGUUGAGUCUCCGCUCUGUGAUGAGCUGUGUGUGCGGCAAUGGAUAGUGAUCUGAGCCCACAGGACAAGAAAGACUUGGAUAAAUUCAUCAAAUUCUUUGCCUUGAAGACAGUGCAAGUUAUAGUUCAAGCCCGGCUUGGAGAGAAGAUCAGCACUUGCUCUUCUUCAUCACCGACAGGGUCAGACUGGUUUAAUCUGGCAAUAAAAGACAUCCCAGAGGUGACUCAUGAAGCAAAAAAAGCUCUUGCUGGACAGCUGCCUGGCAUCGGCCGAUCCAUGUGUGUGGAGAUCUCCCUCAAAACCUCAGAGGGAGACUCCAUGGAGCUGGAGACGUGGUGUUUGGAAAUGAAUGAAAAGUGUGAUAAGGACAUUAAAGUGUCCUAUACAGUUUAUAAUCGGCUGUCUCUGCUCCUCAAGUCUUUGCUGGCCAUCACAAGGGUGACACCUGCUUACAAGCUUUCACGUAAACAAGGGCAUGAUUAUGUCAUACUCUACAGGAUCUAUUUUGGAGACGUCCAGCUGACGGGUCUCGGGGAAGGGUUCCAGACAGUGCGAGUGGGUAUUGUAGGCACUCCCAUAGGCACCAUCACUUUGUCCUGUGCAUAUCGCACUAAUCUGGCCCUCAUGUCUUCAAGGCAGUUUGAGAGGACAGGCCCUAUCAUGGGUAUCAUCAUUGAUCAUUUUGUGGAGCGUCCCUUCACUAAUAUGGCACACAUGCAUCCUUGCAGUUACAGAGCACCUGGAGAAGAUGAGGGAGGGACAUAUGCAGGAAUAGAAGACUCUCAGGAGGUGUGCACCACGUCCUUUUCCACCUCCCCACCAUCGCAGUGUGUGUGUACAGUCAGUCAGGCACAUUUUAAGACACCUAGGCCGACUCUGAUGGCCACACUGAAGGUUCCCCUCAUGGGGCUUGGCAUCUCACAGCAACUGUACAGCUCACGUCUGUCAUAUCAGACUCCUGCCCUGGGAACUGUGGAUUUGUGCCAUCCCACAACAGCUUGUACUGCUGCUGCACAUCCUCACCAGAUGGUUGUGCCGGGUAAAGAAGGUGGAGUCCCACAGAUGCCAGCUCAGCCUACUCAUGGCACUGCAGCUGAGCAUGGUCGUAUCCCUUCAUGCCCCACUGGACAAUCCCCUCAGCCGGCACCGCCCACAUCCUGUAGCAGCAAGGUGAAGACUGUGUCCCCCUCUGAUGCUCUAGAGACCACCUUCACCAGGAAAGUUGGAGCUUUUGUCAACAAACCCACCACUCAGGCGACAACAACCAGUUUGGAUCUUCCUUUUGCUGCAUUCGCUCCAAGAGCCUAUGACCUGCAGGAGAACGACCCAAUGGUGCACCCUCCUCCAUCCCCGGCUCCUUCAUCUCCUUUGCAAGGCAGCCUGCACUCAAACACCUCGAGCCACAGCGGGGGGCAGCCACAAGACGACUUUGUCAUGGUUGACUUUGUAAGUGCACCAACACAUAAUAAAAAUACACUUAUCAAGAUCUGCUUUCUUCUCCAGGUAUUGAGAACUAUGUAACAGUACAUUGAGUGAAUGGGAACUGUUAAGUACCAGAGAGAUGGGUACUGAAACCAGCAUUCUCUAAAGAUGACCUUCUGCCAAUGGAUCUGGGGACUUUCUAUAGAGAAUUUCAAAACCCUCCUCAACUUGCAAGCCUGUCCAUCGAUGUCAGCGCUCAGUCUAUGGCUGAGGAUUUGGACUCUCUUCCAGAGAAACUGGCCAUUUAUGAGAAGAACAUUGACGAGUUUGAUGCGUUUGUGGACACGCUACAAUAAAACAGAACAGAGAUUGCAUCCUUCACAACUUCUUUACUCUUCUUGCUUCCUUCACUGGAGCAUCCCUCAUUGGAUGUCUACAUUAACCAUGUUUUGUGUCAGUUUUUCCUUGUGCAAUGAGCUAUGAAGAAAAUCAUCAUUCAAGAAAAAAGCUGAACUGAGGUAUAAGGAGAGCAGCAUCUGUUACAGGAACAGAGCAGCAUUAAAUUUCCAACCCUUGUAUUUAUUAAAAUAGCAGAAGUGUGUAAGUAAAGCUCACUGUAAUGAAUGUAUAAACCUGUACCAGCCUUUAUUUUUGUUUUGCUCAUCACAACACCACAUGCAGUUGACUGACUGAUCACUGAAGCAGAUUCUUCUCAUUGUACCAUCUGAAUUCUCUUACGAUGUUAAUUCAAGGGAAAACGUGAAUUAUCUAAGAAUAUGUCCAGUUUUUGUUUCAUAGGCUUAAACAUGAACAGCACUACAAGUGAACACUGACAACAGUGAAUUGUGAGUCUGUGUCUGCUUACCUGCUUCCUGUACAUGCAUUGUACCAAUUUCACCUUUUAAUUUUUUUUUUCUUAAGGUCUUUAAACAGUGAGGAAUGCUUUUUUUUUUAAAGCUUAUGUUGCCAAGUUAUUAGGAGCUGGACCUUCUUUUAUUAUUUUAAGUGUCUUCUUUCUCUCCUCGCUUUGUUAAUAUGGCAUGUAAAUGUUGUGUAAUAAACUGAUUUAUUUCA